rnacentral:rRNA from 1 species
UUGAACGCUGGCGGCAGGCCUAACACAUGCAAGUCGAGCGAGAAAGCACUUCGGUGUGAGUAGAGCGGCGGACGGGUGAGUAACGCGUAGGAAUUUGCCCAGUAGUGGGGGACAACAUGUGGAAACGCAUGCUAAUACCGCAUAACGUCUACGGACCAAAGGGGGGGAUCUUCGGACCUCUCGCCAUUUGAUUAGCCCAAGUGAGAUUAGCUAGUUGGUGAGGUAAAGGCUCACCAAGGCGACGAUCUCUAGCUGGUUUGAGAGGAUGAUCAGCCACACUGGGACUGAGACACGGCCCAGACUCCUACGGGAGGCAGCAGUGGGGAAUAUUGGACAAUGGGCGGAAGCCUGAUCCAGCAAUACCGCGUGUAUGAAGAAGGCUCUAGGGUCGUAAAGUACUUUCAGAGGGGAGGAAAGGUUGUAGUUUAAUAUGCUGCGACUGUGACGUUACCCUCAGAAGAAGCACCGGCUAACUCCGUGCCAGCAGCCGCGGUAAUACGGAGGUGCGAGCGUUAAUCGGAAUUACUGGGCGUAAAGCGCGGUAGGUGGUUUGAUAAGUUGGAUGUGAAAGCCCCGGGCUCAACCUGGGAACUGCAUUCAAAACUGUCUCACUAGAGUACGAUAGAGGGGGGUAGAAUUUCAGGGGGUAGCGGUGAAAUGCGUAGAUAUAGAAGGAACAUCAGUGGCGAAGGCGGCCACUGGACUAAUACUGACACUGAGGUGCCGAAAGCGUGGGGAGCAAACAGAUUAGAUACCCUGGUAGUCCACGCCGUAAACGAUGUCUACUAGCCGUUGGGGAGCUUGCCUCCUUAGUGGCGCAGCUAACGCAAUAAGUAGACCGCCUGGGGGUACGGUCGCAAGAUUAAAACUCAAAUGAAUUGACGGGGGCCCGCACAAGCGGUGGAGCAUGUGGUUUAAUUCGAUGCAACGCGAAGAACCUUACCAGGUCUUGACAUCCUGCGAACUUUCUAGAGAUAGAUUGGUGCCUUCGGGAACGCAGUGACAGGUGCUGCAUGGCUGUCGUCAGCUCGUGUUGUGAAAUGUUGGGUUAAGUCCCGUAACGAGCGCAACCCUUAUCCUUAUUUGCCAGCACGUAAUGGUGGGAACUCUAAGGAGACUGCCGGUGACAAACCGGAGGAAGGUGGGGACGACGUCAAGUCAUCAUGGCCCUUACGACCUGGGCUACACACGUGCUACAAUGGGAGGUACAGAGGGACGCGAAGCCGCGAGGUGUAGCUAAUCCCAGAAAACCUUUCGUAGUCCGGAUUGGAGUCUGCAACUCGACUCCAUGAAGUUGGAAUCGCUAGUAAUCGUGAAUCAGAAUGUCGCGGUGAAUACGUUCCCGGGCCUUGUACACACCGCCC